GGAAGGAUCAUUAAAUAAUCUGAUAAUUCAAUAAUUAUCUUAUUUACUGUGAACUGUUUUUAUUUAUGACGUAUAAGGGGAUGUCUUUAGGCUAUAAGGGUAGGCCUAUGGAAUGUUAACCUAGUCAUAGUCAAGCUUGAUGCUUGGUACCCGAUUAUUACUUACCAAAAGAAUUCAGUUUAAAAUAUUGUAACAUAGACCUAAAAAAUCUAUAAAACAACUUUUAACAAUGGAUCUCUUGGUUCUCGCAUCGAUGAAGAACGUAGCAAAGUGCGAUAACUAGUGUGAAUUGCAUAUUCAGUGAAUCAUCGAGUCUUUGAACGCAACUUGCACUCAUUGGUAUUCCAAUGAGUACGCCUGUUUCAGUAUCAAAAACAACCCUUAUUCAAAUAUUUUGUUUGAAUAGAUCUGAGCGUAACGAUAUCUUGAGACGCUUUAAAUCUACUAUGGCUAUUAAGUUUUAACUGCCUAUAUUUUUUUUAAUAUAAAAAAGAUAGAAAGCGACCGAAAUGGAUGGCCUCCAAAAUAACCUUUUAAACUUGAUCUGAAAUCAGGUGGGAUUACCCGCUGAACUUAAGCAUAUCAAUAAGCGGAGGAAAAGAAAAUAACAAUGAUUUCCCUAGUAACGGCGAGUGAAGAGGAAAGAGCUCAAAGUUGGAACCUGUUUGGCUUAGCUAAACCGGAUUGUAAACUGUAGAAACGUUUUCCUGGCACGCCAGAUAAAUAAGUCCUUUGGAACAGGGCAUCAUAGAGGGUGAGAAUCCCGUCUUUGGUCUGAGCUGUUGUCUUUUGUGAUACGUUUUCAAAGAGUCAGGUUGUUUGGGAAUGCAGCCUAAAUUGGGUGGUAAAUCUCACCUAAAGCUAAAUAUUUGCGAGAGACCGAUAGCGAACAAGUACCGUGAGGGAAAGAUGAAAAGAACUUUGAAAAGAGAGUUAAACAGUAUGUGAAAUUGUUAAAAGGGAACCGUUUGGAGCCAGACUGGCUUGAUCGUAAUCAAUCUAGGUUUCGACCUGGAUGCACUUGCGGUCUAUGCCUGCCAACGACAGUUCUUUCUGAAGGAUAAAACUAGGAGGAAUGUGGCCCCUCGGGGUGUUAUAGCCUCUUAGAUAAUACUUUGGAUGGGACUGAGGAACGCAGUGAAUGCUUAUGGCGAAAUUGCUAGGCGCUUUUGUUGAUAGAUGUUAGAAUUUCUACUUCGGGUAGUGCUGAUGUCUAAAGGUAAAACUCGUUUGGUUAAUUUUCUAUUCACUUAGGUUGUUGGCUUAAUGACUCUAAAUGACCCGUCUUGAAACACGGACCAAGGAGUCCACCAUUAGUGCGAGUAUUUGGGUGCCAAACCCAUAUGCGUAAGGAAACUGAUUGAUACGAAACCGCAAGGUGGCAGUAUCACCCGGCGUUGACGUUUUAUACUGAACUGACCGAGGUUAAGCACUAAUGAUGGGACCCGAAAGAUGGUGAACUAUGCCUGAAUAGGGUGAAGCCGGAGGAAACUCCGGUGGAGGCUCGUAGCGAUUCUGACGUGCAAAUCGAUCGUCAAAUUUGGGUAUAGGGGCGAAAGACUAAUCGAACCAUCUAGUAGCUGGUUCCUGC
rnacentral:misc_RNA from 1 species